AAAAGCAGGGGAUCGUAAGACCUCGCGCUAUUGGAGCGGCCGAUGUCCGAUUAGCUAGUUGGUGGGGUAAUGGCCUACCAAGGCGACGAUCGGUAGCUGGUCUGAGAGGAUGAUCAGCCACACUGGGACUGAGACACGGCCCAGACUCCUACGGGAGGCAGCAGUGGGGAAUUUUGGACAAUGGGCGAAAGCCUGAUCCAGCCAUGCCGCGUGAGUGAAGAAGGCCUUCGGGUUGUAAAGCUCUUUCGGCCGGAACGAAAUCGUCCGGGCUAAUACCCCGGAUGGAUGACGGUACCGGAAGAAGAAGCACCGGCUAACUACGUGCCGGCAGCCGCGGUAAUACGUAGGGUGCAGGCGUUAAUCGGAAUUACUGGGCGUAAAGCGUGCGCAGGCGGCUUCCUAAGUCAGAUGUGAAAUCCCCGGGCUUAACCUGGGAACUGCGUUUGAAACUACAAAGC
rnacentral:rRNA from 1 species